GAGGGUAUAGCUCAGUGGUAGAGUGCUUACCUAUCAUGUGAGGCCAUGGGUUCAAUUCCCAAUACUAUAA
rfam:Ictidomys tridecemlineatus contig008836, whole genome shotgun sequence.